UACAGAGGGUGCGAGCGCUAAUCGGAAUUACUGGGCGUAAAGCGCACGUAGUCGGCUUUGCAAGUCGGGUGUGAAAUCCCCGGGCUCAACCUGGGAACUGCAUCCGAGACUGCAUUGCUAGAGUAUGGGAGAGGGAAGCGGAAUUUCUGGUGUAGCAGUGAAAUGCGUAGAUAUCAGAAGGAACAUCAGUGGCGAAGGCGGCUUCCUGGACCAAUACUGACGAUCAGGUGCGAAAGCGUGGGGAGCAAACAGG
rnacentral:rRNA from 1 species